rnacentral:rRNA from 1 species
AACCUGCCCCGAAGAGGGGGAUAACCAUCCGAAAGGGUGGCUAAUACCCCAUAUACUCCGAUCUAUUCGGAGGAAAGCUUUCGCGCUUCGGGAGGGGCCUGCGUAACAUUAGCUUGUUGGUGAGGUAAGAGCUCACCAAGGCUACGAUGUUUAGCUGGUUUGAGAGGAUGAUCAGCCACACUGGGACUGAGAUACGGCCCAGACUCCUACGGGAGGCAGCAGUGAGGAAUAUUCCACAAUGGGGGCAACCCUGAUGGAGCGAUGCCGCGUGCAGGAAGACGCUUUUCGGAGUGUAAACUGCUUUUAACAGGGAAGAUUAUGACGGUACCUGUAGAAUAAGGACCGGCUAACUACGUGCCAGCAGCCGCGGUAAUACGUAGGGUCCAAGCGUUAUUCGGAACUACUGGGCGUAAAGCGUUCGUAGGCGGUUUGAUAAGUUGGAUGUGAAAUCCUGUGGCUCAACCACAUGGACUGUGUCCAAAACUAUCUAACUAGAGCAUAGUAGAGGCGAGUGGAAUUCCUGGUGUAGCGGUGAAAUGCGUAGAUAUCAGGAGGAACACCGGUGGUGUAGACGGCUAUCUGGACAAUUACUGACGCUGAGACACGAAAGCGUGGGGAGCAAACAGGAUUAGAUACCCUGGUAGUCCACGCCCUAAACGAUGCA